AGGAAAAGAGUAAAUAGCGCAAAACCGGGAUUGCAUUUCUCCUAAAUCCUUCUGAGGAAAACAAUAUCACCGUCUCUUCUUUGUUCAAACUUCAAAACCCUUCUACUCUCCUUCCCUUAACGGUACGAUGACCGACCGUGACCGAACUCGAUACCGUGACCGUGAAAUUGACCGGGAUCGUGACCGUGACCGGGAGAGAGAGCGAGAGAGGGACAAGGAUAGAGACAGAGAUCGGAAACGUGACCGGGAUGACCGUGACCGGAGAGACCGUGAACGUUCUUACACCCCUGACCAUAUCAAAACCAGUCGACACACUCGCUCCCGAACUCGUUCCCCUUCCACUGACCGUCACCGCCACCGUCAACGUUCUACUUCCCGCUCCCGUUCUCCCACUGACCGCCGCAACCGCCACCGUCACCACCGUCCCUCAGCGGAAAGUCCUCCUAGAAAGAGACGAAAAGAUGAUGGCGAUAGGGAUAAGGAUAGGGAUAGAGAUACGCGGAGAGAGGUUGAGGAUUUUGUGGACGGGAUAGCGAAAGAACAGAAGAAGCAGAAGAAGAAGGAGGAGGAGGGGAGUGGUGAUGAAGAGAUGAUGGAUGAGGAAGAGAUUGAGAUGAUGAAGAAAUUGGGGAUACCGGUAGGGUUUGAUUCGACAAAGGGGAAGCCAGUGGCAGGGAAUGAUGUGGGUGCUGUAAGGAAAGUCACUAAACGGCAGCCUCGACAGUACAUGAAUAGGCGUGGUGGCUUCAAUAGGCCCUUGCCUGCUGAGUGCAACCGCUGAUUUUCCCAGGGUUCGUUUUAUUCAUAUUUUGAUUGUCUAAGCAUCAAGGGAAGUUCGUAUUUUGGAAGAUGGAAUGAUACUUUGACAGAUAGGUUUCAGCCCUAUUCCCUUUGAUCCUGUAGCUAGAUGUUGGAUUAUUGCUGAUGGAAAUGCACUUUCUGCCUGGCUUCUUAUGUGAGCGUGCCUCUUUGUCCAAGUAAUGGAGACAAUAUAAGAUCCUUUCAAUUGUAUGUUUAGGUCAUAAUGUGCUAUUUUUCUCAAAACUUCAUGGUAAUUGGACUUCUGCGGUGGAGAAUAGGUUCACAGUUUGCUGCAGCCUGCACCAAGCAGUAACAGAUGCGACCCAUUACUUCAGGGUCCUGCCAAAUGGUUUGCUGGUUAAUGGUGCCCCUCCCUCCCUUUAAAGCAGUCAUCCUUUAACACCAUCUGUUAUCUCAUGGAGAUCACUGAUGCAAACAUGCAUUUGGGCUAUUGCUUCUUGUCUAGGUGCUCUCAGAUUUCUCCCCAAUGAUAGGCUUUUCUUCAUAAAUCAACUUACGUUUGGAUUUGACUAUAGUGUUGCUCACUAUGCACUUUGGUGUGUGCACUAAAGUCUAGGAUUGAUCCCUUUACCUUGUAUUGAUAUUUGUAAUCUUGGCCAUUGGUACGAACUAUGUCAUUUACUUUCUUGAUGAUGUAGAAUCUGACCCAGCUCUGGGGCAUAAGCUAUUUAACUCAGGUUGGAGUGAUCGAUA